UUGUGAAUAGCCGAGUGGUUAUAGUAUCGUGCUGCUAACUAGAAGGCUCGCGGGUUCAAAUCUCCGCUUCGGAAU